AUUGAACGCUAGCGGGAUGCCUAACACAUGCAAGUCGAACGAGUGGCGGACGGGUGAGUAAUAUCUCGGAACGUGCCCGAUAGCGGGGGAUAACUACUGGAAACAGGGCUAAUACCGCAUACCAUCGGAUGGGCCCAUAUGGGAUUAGCUAGUUGGUGGGGUAAAGGCUCACCAAGGCGACGAUCCGUAGCUGGUCUGAGAGGACGACCAGCCACACUGGGACUGAGACACGGCCCAGACUCCUACGGGAGGCAGCAGUGGGGAAUAUUGGACAAUGGGGGAAAGCCUGAUCCAGCCAUGCCGCGUGUAUGAUGAAGGCCUUCGGGUUGUAAAGUACUUUUGGCAGAGAAGCGGUAUCUGCAGAAUAAGCACCGGCUAACUACGUGCCAGCCGCCGCGGUAAUUC
rnacentral:rRNA from 1 species